UACGAAGGGGGCUAGCGUUGCUCGGAAUCACUGGGCGUAAAGCGCACGUAGGCGGACUCUUAAGUCGGUGGUGAAAUCCUGGAGCUCAACUCCAGAACUGCCUUCGAUACUGAGAGUCUCGAGUCCGGGAGAGGUGAGUGGAACUGCGAGUGUAGAGGUGAAAUUCGUAGAUAUUCGCAAGAACACCAGUGGCGAAGGCGGCUCACUGCCCGUACUGGACGCUGAGAGC
rnacentral:rRNA from 1 species